rnacentral:rRNA from 1 species
AUGAACGCUGGCGGCGUGCCUCAUCCAUGCCAGUCGCGCGAACAGACGAGGAGCUUGCUCCUCUGACGUUAGCGGCGGACGGGUGAGUAACACGUGGAUAACCUACCUAUAAGACUGGGAUAACUUCGGGAAACCGGAGCUAAUACCGGAUAAUAUAUUGAACCGCAUGGUUCAAUAGUGAAAGACGGUUUUGCUGUCACUUAUAGAUGGAUCCGCGCCGCAUUAGCUAGUUGGUAAGGUAACGGCUUACCAAGGCGACGAUGCGUAGCCGACCUGAGAGGGUGAUCGGCCACACUGGAACUGAGACACGGUCCAGACUCCUACGGGAGGCAGCAGUAGGGAAUCUUCCGCAAUGGGCGAAAGCCUGACGGAGCAACGCCGCGUGAGUGAUGAAGGUCUUCGGAUCGUAAAACUCUGUUAUUAGGGAAGAACAAAUGUGUAAGUAACUAUGCACGUCUUGACGGUACCUAAUCAGAAAGCCACGGCUAACUACGUG